GCCUGUUCGAGCGUCAUUUAAACAAUCAAGCCUUGCUUGGUCUUGGGCGUGGUCGAUCGACCCGUCCGUAACUCGUUGGCGGUGCAGUCCGGCUUCAAGCGUAGCAAACAUCUCGCUUCAGGAGUCCGCGGCGGUACCUGCCAGGUAACUCAAACCUAAAGUUUGACCUCGGAUCAGGUGAGGAUACCCGCUGAACUUAA
rnacentral:misc_RNA from 1 species